GACGAACGCUGGCGGCGUGCCUAAUACAUGCAAGUCGAACGCUUCUUUUUCCACCGGAGCUUGCUCCGCCGGAAAAAGAGGAGUGGCGAACGGGUGAGUAACACGUGGGUAACCUGCCCAUCAGAAGGGGAUAACACUUGGAAACAGGUGCUAAUACCGUAUAACAAUCAAAACCGCAUGGUUUUGAUUUGAAAGGCGCUUUCGGGUGUCGCUGAUGGAUGGACCCGCGGUGCAUCAGCUAGUUGGUGAGGUAACGGCUCACCAAGGCCACGAUGCAUAGCCGACCUGAGAGGGUGAUCGGCCACAUUGGGACUGAGACACGGCCCAAACUCCUACGGGAGGCAGCAGUAGGGAAUCUUCGGCAAUGGACGAAAGUCUGACCGAGCAACGCCGCGUGAGUGAAGAAGGUUUUCGGAUCGUAAAACUCUGUUGUUAGAGAAGAACAAGGAUGAGAGUAACUGUUCAUCCCUUGACGGUAUCUAACCAGAAAGCCACGGCUAACUACGUGCCAGCCGCCGCUGUAA
rnacentral:rRNA from 1 species